rnacentral:lncRNA from 1 species
GGUCUGUCUCAUUGUUCUGGUGUAUUCUGGUCUGUCUGUGUUCUGGUGUAUCCUGGCUGGAGGUCAGUCACAAGUUGUAACCAAGGAGAACACCAUAACAUGAGCAAUACCACAUACUGUACUGUGGACCUGGGAAGAGCUCUGAAAUGGGAGCACACACACACACCAGCUAAGGAGGGGGACUGGAUGUGAGUCACAACAAGGCUCACCAGCCCUCGUGAUCAGCAGCAGAGAGGUACAUUUAGCCUGGGGAAGGAGUUGGGGCCUGUGGGUGUCAGGUGUCUGUUCUGAGGAGGUGUGGGGGAUAAGGAAUAUAACUCCUAAAAGCUGCUCAGCCCCCGCAUUCCCCAUCUCUCUACCACAUGUAGAGUAAGGGAUAGUCUUUAACUGAUCACUUCCAAACAUAUCUGACAUAGUCCCAGUGGUAACUAGAUGAGUGUGUCCAGGCUGGUGUCCAUGUCCCUAUAGUCCCAGUGGUAACUAGAUGAGUUUGUCCAGGCUGGUGUCCAUGUCCCUAUAGUCCCAGUGGUAACUAAAUGACUGUGUCCAGGCUGGUGUCCAUGUCCCUAUGGUAACUAGAUGAGUGUGUCCAGGCUGGUGUCCAUGUCCCUAUGGUAACUAGAUGAGUGUGUCCAGGCUGGUGUCCAUGUCCCUAUGGUAACUAUAUGAGUGUGUCCAGGCUGGUGUCCAUGGACCUAUAGUCUCAGUGGUAACUAGAUGAGUGUGUCCAAGCUGGUGUCCAUGGCCCUAUAGUCCCAGUGGUAACUAGAUGAGUGUGUCCAAGCUGGUGUCCAUGGCCCUAAAGUCCCAGUGGUAACUAGAUGAGUGUGUCCAAGCUGGUGUCCAUGGCCCUAAAGUCCCAGUGGUAACUAGAUGAGUGUUUCCAGGCUGGUGUCCAUGUCCCUAUGGUCCCAGUGGUAACGAGGUGAGUGUGUCCAGGCUGGUGUCCAUGGCCCUGUCGUCCCAGUAGUAACUAGAUGAGUCCGUGGUGUGCUGGUGUCCAUGGUCCUAUCGUCCCAGUAGUAACUAGAUGAGUCCGUGGUGUGCUGGUGUCCAUGGCCCUAUCGUC